rnacentral:rRNA from 1 species
UACGAGUGCCCCGAGCGUUAUCCGGAAUCAUUGGGCGUAAAGGGUGUGUAGGCGGUCGCAUUAGUCUUCUGUCAAAGCCCCGGGCUUAACCCGGGACCUGCAGGGGAAACGGUGCGACUCGAGGAUGCGAGGGGUGAAUGGAACUCAUGGAGUAGGGGUGAAAUCCGUUGAUAUCAUGGGGAACACCAAAAGCGAAGGCAAUUCACUGGCGCAUUCCUGACACUGAAACACGAAAGCGUGGGUAGCGAACGGG